GCAGUCACGUGUGCAUAGUUUCUUAUCUAUGUCUAGUAGUAUGGUCUAUUUGCGUUUUGCAUUUAGAUUAUAUUGCUCACAUACAACCUGUGGCCAAAGAGAAAAUUGAGAUCAUAGUACUGGUCUAGUGAUGUCGAAAGACAAUCUUACCACUGGCCAGCCUCCAAACUCUCAGACAGAC
ensembl:snoRNA